UACGGAGGGUGCAAGCGUUAUCCGGAUUCACUGGGUUUAAAGGGUGUGUAGGCGGGCUUUUAAGUCAGUGGUGAAGUCUCCGGGCUCAACCCGGAAACUGCCAUUGAUACUAUUAGUCUUGAAUAUUGUUGAGGUAGGCGGAAUAUGUCAUGUAGCGGUGAAAUGCUUAGAUAUGACAUAGAACACCGAUUGCGAAGGCAGCUUGCUAAACAAUUAUUGACGCUGAGGCACGAAAGCGUGGGGAUCAAACAGG
rnacentral:rRNA from 1 species